rnacentral:rRNA from 1 species
GGGGAAUAUUGCACAAUGGAGGAAACUCUGAUGCAGCAACGCCGCGUGAGGGAAGAAGGUCUUCGGAUUGUAAACCUUUGUCCUUGGUGACGAAACAAAUGACGGUAGCCAAGGAGGAAGCUCCGGCUAACUACGUGCCAGCAGCCGCGGUAAUACGUAGGGAGCAAGCGUUGUCCGGAUUUACUGGGUGUAAAGGGUGCGUAGGCGGCUCUGCAAGUCAGGCGUGAAAACUAUGGGCUUAACCCAUAGACUGCGUUUGAAACUGUGGGGCUUGAGUGAAGUAGAGGUAGGCGGAAUUCCCGGUGUAGCGGUGAAAUGCGUAGAGAUCGGGAGGAACACCAGUGGCGAAGGCGGCCUACUGGGCUUUAACUGACGCUGAGGCGCGAAAGCGUGGGGAGCAAAC